GAUAUUGUGGAACGCCGCGACCCGGCCGCUCAGCUCACCGGUGUCGAAAUUGGCACCGAUCUCGAAUCCUUUGCCGGUUUCCGGCUUGAGAUCCGGAUUGCCGAGCUGGGCAUAGUU
rnacentral:sRNA from 1 species